rnacentral:rRNA from 1 species
GACGAACCGUGCGAACGUUGUUCGGAAUCACUGGGCUUAAAGGGCGCGUAGGCGGGCCGGACGGUCCGGGGUGAAAUCCCCCCGCUCAACGGGGGAACGGCCUCGGACACCGCCGGCCUCGAGGAAGGUAGGGGCAAGCGGAACGCUGGGUGGAGCGGUGAAAUGCGUAGAUAUCGAGAGGAACACCUGCGGCGAAGGCGGGUUGCUGGGCUGACACUGACGCUGAAGCGCGAAAGCUAGGGGAGCGAACGGG